rnacentral:misc_RNA from 1 species
GAUGAAGAACGUAGCGAAAUGCGAUAAGUAGUGUGAAUUGCAGAAUUCCGUGAAUCAUCGAAUCUUUGAACGCACAUUGCGCCCGCCAGUAUUCUGGCGGGCAUGCCUGUUCGAGCGUCAUUUCAACCAUCAAGCGCCUCGCUUGUGUUGGGGCCCUGCGGCUGCCGCAGGCCCCUAAAUCCAGUGGCGGGCUCGUCGUCGUACCGAGUGCAGUAAACAUCCUCGCUCAGGGAACCCGACGGGUGCCGGCCGUGAAACCCCCCCUCCUCAAGGUUGACCUCGGAUCAGGUAGGAAUACCCGCUGAACUUAUGCAUAUCAAUAAGCGGAGGA